rnacentral:sRNA from 1 species
CGGUGCAAUGAGACUAGCCUCG